rnacentral:rRNA from 1 species
CCUACGGGAGGCAGCAGUGAGGAAUAUUGGUCAAUGGACGAGAGUCUGAACCAGCCAAGUAGCGUGAAGGAUGACUGCCCUAUGGGUUGUAAACUUCUUUUAUAUGGGAAUAAAAUGUUCCACGUGUGGGAUUUUGUAUGUACCAUAUGAAUAAGGAUCGGCUAACUCCGUGCCAGCAGCCGCGGUAAUACGGAGGAUCCGAGCGUUAUCCGGAUUUAUUGGGUUUAAAGGGAGCGUAGGUGGAUUGUUAAGUCAGAUGUGAAAGUUUGCGGCUCAACCGGAAAAUUGCAGUUGAAACUGGCAGUCUUGAGUACAGUAGAGGUGGGCGGAAUUCGUGGUGUAGCGGUGAAAUGCUUAGAUAUAACGAAGAACUCCGAUUGCGAAGGCAGUUCACUGGACUGCAACUGACACUGAGGCUCGAAAGUGUGGGUAUCAAACAGGAUUAGAUACCCCUGUAGUC